AGCACUGACUUACAGGCAGAGCUUCAGUGAUGUUCCUACCUGUGGCUAGCUGGUAAAUAACACCUGUCCUUUCCAUCAAGGUGGACAAUGAGUUGAGAUCUGCUGGGGGAAACUGGCCGAUGUUCAUCCCUUUUGUUUAUAGUCACUUGAACCGUGGCAUUAGGACAAGCUUCUGGUUUGGAUAUUUAUUUGGACUUUAUACCACUUAAAGGAAUACAAACUUGAACGUAACACCAACAAAGACACUUACGCUGUUCCAGCAAAUACGAGGAGUAGCGGGCAGGGAGUCCAGCACGCCACAGUUCUCAAAUAUUGUUUUCUUCAUGGUGCUGAUGAGGAAGUGACUGCAGCUCUGCCUCCAAUAUGAGUCAGCAUGGAGCCUCUGCUGGUGGCCAUGGACAUUCAAGGCCAGUGGAUGAGAGGACACACUCCCCUGCACCCAGCUGUGUGUCCAUGAAGAGUGAUCGCUCAAAGG